AAGUAGAUCGAGAGUUAAGCGAUGGAGGCUGGGGAUGGAAUCUGGGGAGAAAAUAUACUUUCUAUUGUUUUGGGAUGGUUUCAGGGAUUAAGUGUCUGUAUGUAUGGGCUGAGUAGGCAAAAUCACAUCAUUAUCAAAAGUAAAGAUAGCUGGUUUUUGUGAUCUGGCUGCGGCUUUUGAAAAUUUGUGAAUUGGGGAUAUUACCUCCUCCACCCAUACCAUGUAGACCCUUAAUCCUGAAUCCAAAGCUCUGAGAGAGAGACAGAGAGAGCACUUUGUUUGUUUGCAAGUUGACCAACACACAUAUGCACUCUGAUUUGGACACAACAAGUUAUGGCCUUCCUUCCUGUUGUGUAGAUGAGUUAGGUGUUCCUUAUUCCCUCUCCUUGAAACUUUUGUUCAGAAUUCAUAUUAUUUAAUUCACCCUACAAGUUAAUUAGGCAUAUAACAUUGUCUUCUUUCUAGAUCAUAUGACCCUUUUGCUAUAUUUUUGAUGUAGAUAAUGCUUUUAUUGAUUGUCGCUUAACCAUCUGCCCAUUAAGAAAUUGGAGUCAUUUGCAGAUGGUGAUUCGAGCAUCUGUCUUUUGCAUUUUCAGCAAUCCUUCCCUUAUUAUUAUUUGACUAUGGUAGGUUGACUAUUUUGAUCUCUUGUGUGUAUGCUUUACAAUCAUAACUACACCGGUGCAGGCAGUCUUGUAUUGAAAUGGAGCUGUGCUUACGAAUAUCUCAUGACCAAAGCGCCAAGAAGCACCUUCGUCAAGAAGCUACAAACAAAAAACUUAUUCUUGGGCACAUAGCGACUCUAGAAACUUGACGAACCUAGACCUCACAUCUGAAGAUUUCAGUUAUUAGCAGCAAGUACUGCUCCGAGUAGAUGUCUUUAACUGGUUUGAUUAUGUUUACGGCAGAGUUUUUUUAUUUUCUAACAUCUGCAGAUGACUCUUCCUGAAAAAGCCGGCUGCAAAAAGAAAAGACCUAUGAAGUCAGGUGCAACCAUUAAGACAGUGGUGAGGAUAACCACUAUGUCCGGUUAGAUUAAUUGUUUUUAACUAUCGCCAUCUUCUUUUCAUCUUCAAUAUGUUUUAGCUUGUUUUCUGACAAGACACAGAGUUGUUGAUUAGGAAGAUGCCUGGAAAAGUCAAGGCAAGUAAAAGUUUCCAAUGGGUCAAGCGUUAAUUAUCUUCUGUGUCUCUGUCAUCGUUUUCAUUGUUUCAUCACCGGAAAAUAAUUCCUUUUAGUCUGGUUCCUUAGUCUUUCGGUGUAGCAAUACAUUCCUCUAUUAUGACUCUCGAGUCUUGGAAACUUGAGUUACGUUUGGUUUGUGAGUCAGGACAACAUAGUUUGCAUGUUUUGUUCCUGAUUCUCCAAAAGGUGUAUUGACGUUCAAGCAUAACGAUCAACUUAUUAUAUGAAUUAAAUUAUCUUUGUU